UAGGGAAUCUUCCACAAUGGACGCAAGUCUGAUGGAGCAACGCCGCGUGAGUGAAGAAGGUUUUCGGACCGUAAAGCUCUGUUGUUGGUGAAGAAGGAUAGAGGUAGUAACUGGCCUUUAUUUGACGGUAAUCAACCAGAAAGUCACGGCUAACUACGUGCCAGCAGCCGCGGUAAUACGUAGGUGGCAAGCGUUGUCCGGAUUUAUUGGGCGUAAAGCGAGCGCAGGCGGAAGAAUAAGUCUGAUGUGAAAGCCCUCGGCUUAACCGAGGAAUUGCAUCGGAAACUGUUUUUCUUGAGUGCAGAAGAGGAGAGUAGAACUCCAUGUGUAGCGGUGGAAUGCGUAGAUAUAUGGAAGAAUACCAGUGGCGAAGGCGGCUCUCUGGUCUGCAACUGACGCUGAGGCUCGAAAAGCAUGGGUAGCGAACAGGAUUAGAUACCCUGGUAGUCCAUGCCGUAAAACGAUGAGUGCUAAGUGUUGGGAGGCUU
rnacentral:rRNA from 1 species